rnacentral:lncRNA from 1 species
AUGGCUGCUGUAUCAGCUGGUGUGCUAUAUUACUCUAUAAUUACCCUGCUGACUAUAAGUUCAGUGUAUCAUGUCGUGUGGGUUUUGUAUUUCUGUUACUCUGAUAACACUGUACAGACAACUAACAUAUUGUUUCUCGUCUUACACUUUCAGGAACUUGACUCACAUCUGUGCUUUGCCUGUGUGCAGAAGAAGAACAAGGACCAGAUCUCCAGUCUUCUCUCUCACAUCCCAACCCCCCAAUCCCUCUAUCCUCUGUCCUGCUCCACCUGUUGUCUCUGCCUUCUUUCCAUCUGUAUUUCACCCUGUGGUUUGUGAGAAAUUUUGCCAAACCAAGAAUCUUAUUGCGGUUUGAUUUCAAAGCCGUGUCUUUCCUGCUCUGUCUGUUCUCUCUGCUAAUUUUCUCUCUACCUGUUUUUCACUCUUUGGCUUGCUGCUGAAAAAUGCACAAGCCAAUAAAGCAAUAAAGAGUGCAUAUUUUGCCUCAACCUAUGAACAAACUGAACAAACAAAGAAAACUCUAAUUCACGGUUUGAUUGUGAUUUGCCAGCCGUGUCUUUCCUGCUCUGUCUGUUCUUUCUGCUAAAUUUUCUCUCUACCUGUUUUUCACUCUUGGCUUGCUGCUGAAAAAUGCCAAGCCAUUAAAGCAAUAAAGAGUGCAUAUAUUGCCUCUACCUGAGAACAAACUGAACAAACAAAGAAAACUCUAAUUCACGGUUUGAUUGUGAUUUCCCAGCCGUGUCUCUCCUGCUCUGCCUGUUCUCUCUUCUAGAUUUUCUCUCUACCUGUUUUUCAUUCUGGGCUUGCUGCUAAGUUGUGCCAAGCCAAUAAAGAGAGUGCAUAAUAUUCUCUCGACUGAAGAACAAACUGUCAAACAAACACAACUGUUUCAGACAAAUAAAAACUGAAAUAUAAAAACAAAGAAAACAUCUCCUGGUGUGUGCCACUCUUAUCUUGUGAACAUAUUUUCUGAAGACUAAGAAACACUUGCAGGUGUGUGAAAAUGCCAAGGAAGCAGAAAAGUCAAAAGCUGCAAAACAACGGUGGAAGAAGUUCCAUGAGAUUCACAGUGUACCAAUAUGUGAACAGGCUGAGUUUGAUUUUCCUCAUAGCUCUGCAGAAGACAGUGUGUCUACAAAGACCAAUUCUGAGAGUGUCAAACAGGCAGGUCAACAUGUUCCUGCACAUGUACAACAGGUAUCUUAUGCUGUUGCUGUAAAGAGUGGACUGCAGCAUGAAUUUAAUGAACAACAUGAGGUGUCAAGUGCCCCACAGGUGGGUUAUGCUGAUUUUUUGAAAAGAGGCCAUCACAGUGAUGUGGGAGGACCAUCUCAUGCAGAAAGAGUGAACCUUGAAAACCAGCCCUCUGUAACACAUGUCUGUGCAUCUCACAGCCAGGCACAUCCUAAAUAUGGAGACUCCAGAAACAAGCAGUGCACAUGUAACUCACUCACAUUUCUUGCAU